rnacentral:rRNA from 1 species
CUUUUUUUUCCUACCAUUUUGAAUGCACCUGCUCUGAUCGAGUCUUGGAAGCUAACCAGAGUCAAGCCUCGUUAGUAUUUGGAUGGCAGACAACUUGGGAAAAUUUGGGUGAUGUAGGUA